GGAAAGGCAGGCUAAGGGUGAGGCAAUUCAGUUGCUAUCUGAAUGAAGUGAUUCUUAUAGGUUCAAGUCCUAUUCUUUCCG
rnacentral:tRNA from 1 species